rnacentral:ncRNA from 1 species
CCUCUGGAGAAUCCCAGAUUUGCUGGGUGCCGAAGGGGCAAGGCUAUACCACCGCGAUAGCCGAAACUCUCAGGCAAAAGGACAGAGUAUU